rnacentral:rRNA from 1 species
CAGUAGCCGCGGGAAUACAGAGGAUGCAAGCGUUAUCCGGAAUGAUUGGGCGUAAAGCGUCUGUAGGUGGCUUUUCAAGUCCGCCGUCAAAUCCCAGGGCUCAACCCUGGACAGGCGGUGGAAACUACCAAGCUGGAGUAUGGUAGGGGCAGAGGGAAUUUCCGGUGGAGCGGUGAAAUGCGUUGAGAUCGGAAAGAACACCAACGGCGAAAGCACUCUACUGGGCCGACACUGACACUGAGAGACGAAAGCUAGGGGAGCAAAUGGGAUUAGAUACCCCCGUAGUCCCUGUCUCUUAUAA